rnacentral:rRNA from 1 species
UACAGAGGUCUCAAGCGUUGUUCGGAUUCAUUGGGCGUAAAGGGUGCGUAGGCGGCGCGGUAAGUCGGGUGUGAAAUCUCGGGGCUUAACUCCGAAACUGCAUUCGAUACUGCCGUGCUUGAGGACUGGAGAGGAGACUGGAAUUUACGGUGUAGCGGUGAAAUGCGUAGAUAUCGAAAGGAAGACCAGUGGCGAAGGCGGGUCUCUGGACAGUUCCUGACGCUGAGGCACGAAGGCCAGGGGAGCAAACGGG